AUUGAACGCUGGCGGCAGGCUUAACACAUGCAAGUCGAGCGGAGAUGAGGUGCUUGCACCUUAUCUUAGCGGCGGACGGGUGAGUAAUGCUUAGGAAUCUGCCUAUUAGUGGGGGACAACAUUCCGAAAGGAAUGCUAAUACCGCAUACGUCCUACGGGAGAAAGCAGGGGAUCUUCGGACUUUGCGCUAAUAGAUGAGCCUAAGUCGGACUAGCUAGUUGGUGGGGUAAAGGCCUACCAAGGCGACGAUCCGUAGCGGGUCUGAGAGGAUGACCGCCACACUGGGACUGAGACACGGCCCGGACUCCUACGGGAGGCGGCAGUGGGGAAUAUUGGACAAUGGGGGGAACCCUGAUCCGUCCAUGCCGCGUGUGUGAAGAAGGCCUUAUGGUUGUAAAGCACUUUAAGCGAGGAGGAGGCUACUGAGACUAAUACUCUUGGAUAGUGGACGUUACUCGCAGAAUAAGCACCGGCUAACUCUGUGCCAGCCGCCGCCGUAAUAC
rnacentral:rRNA from 1 species